rfam:Myotis brandtii contig192889, whole genome shotgun sequence.
UGUGCACCAGUGGGGUCCCUCAGCCUGGCCUGUGCCCUCUCGCAAUUUGGGACCCCUUGGGGGAUGUUGGAGAGCCAGUUUCGGACCAAUCCUGUAGGCCAGGCUGAGGGACCCCACUGGUGCACA